rnacentral:rRNA from 1 species
UACGUAGGUGACAAGCGUUGUCCGGAUUUACUGGGCGUAAAGAGCGCGCAGGCGGUCGUUCAAGUCGAGUGUGAAAGCCCCCGGCUCAACUGGGGAGGGUCAUUCGAUACUGAUCGACUCGAAGGCAGGAGAGGGUAGCGGAAUUCACGGUGUAGCAGUGAAAUGCGUAGAUAUCGUGAGGAACACCAGAGGCGAAGGCGGCUACCUGGACAAUUGCUGACACUCAGGCACGAAAGCGUGGGGAGCAAAAGGG